UUUUGGGGUGACGGUAGGGGCAGAAGAAGCACCGGCUAACUACGUGCCAGCAGCCGCGGUAAUACGUAGGGUGCGAGCGUUGUCCGGAAUUAUUGGGCGUAAAGAGCUUGUAGGCGGUUUGUCGCGUCUGCUGUGAAAGCCCGGGGCUUAACUCCGGGUCUGCAGUGGGUACGGGCAGGCUAGAGUGUGGUAGGGGAGACUGGAAUUCCUGGUGUAGCGGUGGAAUGCGCAGAUAUCAGGAGGAACACCGAUGGCGAAGGCAGGUCUCUGGGCCAUGACUGACGCUGAGAAGCGAAAGCGUGGGGAGCGAACAGGAUUAGAUACCCUGGUAGUCCACGCCGUAAACGUUGGGCGCUAGGUGUGGGUCCCAUUCCACGGGGUCCGUGCCGCAGCUAACGCAUUAAGCGCCCCGCCUGGGGAGUACGGCCGCAAGGCUAAAACUCAAAGGAAUUGACGGGGGCCCGCACAAGCGGCGGAGCAUGCGGAUUAAUUCGAUGCAACGCGAAGAACCUUACCAAGGCUUGACAUACACCGGACGAUCGCAGAGAUGUGGUUUCCCUUUGUGGCUGGUGUACAGGUGGUGCAUGGUUGUCGUCAGCUCGUGUCGUGAGAUGUUGGGUUAAGUCCCGCAACGAGCGCAACCCUCGUUCCAUGUUGCCAGCAACACCUUUGGGUGGUUGGGGACUCAUGGGAGACUGCCGGGGUCAACUCGGAGGAAGGUGGGGAUGACGUCAAAUCAUCAUGCCCCUUACGUCUUGGGCUUCACGCAUGCUACAAUGGCCGGUACAAAGGGCUGCGAUCCCGUGAGGGGGAGCGAAUCCCAGAAAGCCGGUCUCAGUUCGGAUUGGGGUCUGCAACUCGACCCCAUGAAGUCGGAGUCGCUAGUAAUCGCAGAUCAGCAACGCUGCGGUGAAUACGUUCCCGGGCCUUGUACACACCGCCCGUCAAGUCACGAAAGUCGGUAACACCCGAAGCCGGUGGCCUAACCCCCUUGUGGGGAGGGAGCUGUCGAAGGUGGGACUGGUGAUUGGGACUAAGUCGUAACAAGGUAGCCGUACCGGAAGGUGCGGCUGGAUCACCUCCUUU
rnacentral:ncRNA from 1 species